UUUCCCUCUUCACUCUUCUCCCCCCCCCCCUUCUUUAUUUCUGCUGUUCAUUCAUUUCAUAAUGCGAGCGUAUCCCGUUUGCGGGGGAAGGAAUAUGCAGUGAGGGCGGGCUUCGUAUCAGCUUGAAGGAAACCCGCAAGAUGACAUCUUUCUCUGUGUGUGUGUCUGCCUCGUACGCAUUCCGUGUGGGUGAGUGAUUUCUAUGCUUUCCUUUGUCAACUGAACAUUUCUCUUGCCCCUUGACUUUAUUUCGUUGUCUGUUCGACCUUGAACUUCACAUUUUCUUUCCAACUCCUGAUCUGGUUGCUCUGUGCCACCCUAUAGUGGCUCAGUCUUACAUCUCUGAUUAAUAAUUAGUUUAAUAGGGCAGUUCUCGCCACACAAGAUUUCUUCGUCUUUCUUCAUUUAUAUUCCUUCCUUGCCACACCAACACACACACACAAUAUGUUCACUCUCUGGCUUUAUAGGCAGUGCGAUGAAAAACAGUGCAUAUAUAUUUAUCAAAAAAAAAAAAAGAGGUUACAUGACAACAAAUCUGUAAUUGGAUCUGAUGACAAGAUUUGAGAAUUAAUAGUGAGGUGAACAAGGAUCGAUUGGAAGAAUUUUGUAAAGAGCUUGAAUAUUUUUAACCUUAUCAUAUUUUUUGUUAAAUAAACCAAAUCAAAGUUGCACCAUUUGGUCAUAAUAUAAGCAAGUUUAUAUGGAGAGGUGGAAACGUAAGUAUUAAGGUCGAGCAGGCGGCGAAAUUGAGUUUUCGGCAAGAACUGUUUGCUUGACAAAGGUUCUAGCGCGGAAAUCAAUCAUCAGUGCCAUCAUUCGUAUGCUCUCCUUCAGCACUACCAUCCAUUCAUUUCUGAAGCACAAAGACGAAUGGUUCAAGAGAAGGAAAUGCUCCCUGAUAAAACUUAGAGUUCAAAUUAGACGACUACGAGGAAUGCUAAGUAUAUAUGUUGUAAAACAAAAGAAAAAGCGGGAAAUUAAGGGUCAUAUGGGUUAUGAAAUUGUCCAGUUACGUUGUAACUUAGUGAGAAAAGACCAGGAACAGGCACUGAACCGAUCCCUCACAGGAGUAUUUCGAUGUGCAAUUUAGUUAUCUUUUCUUAAAGCUCUUGUAUUGCAGCAAAGUAAAUUUAUUUUCUUCUUCAUGUUAAAUCACUAUUGAACUUCCAUAGUCUUGUUCUCCUGAGUAAAAUAAUUUUUUUAAUGACAAGGGCACGGCCAAAAUAAACCGUGCAGAGAGGAAAAUGAAAUUUUAUCACCUAGCUAGUAGUGGCAAAUAUUGAUAAAACUUAUUGUUUAAUUUAUAUAAAUAUAUAUAUCAUUUUAUCAACCAAAUUACUUGUAUAUUAUGCCAGCCAGUCCUUAUGUGUAUAUGUGUGCCCCUUGCUUGCCAUCCAUUUGUACGUAAUGGUCUCUUUUGAUUUAAGACUAGCCUCAUUAAUUGAGGAGUAAAGGUAGGUUUGUUAUCAAGAAUACUAAAGGAAGCUACAACAAACUGCAUGCUCUUGCAAUUUGUUAUAGCUGUACUACUACUCAUAUCUAUAAUAUUCUUGCAGACACUAUUUUCAAAGCUCAGAAAUUUACCGUAAAUAUUGGAGGAUUUUCUCUCACGGGAAAUAAAACAAAUGCAGAUCGAACAGUUCAUUUAUAUGCUCUGGCUUUAUGCAGAUUGUCUCACAAGCUUAAUUGUCUUUCUGCAAUCGGUCAUAUGCAUGUAUUCACCUCCAGUUCAGUUCAUGUUGUCCUGUAAAUUGUGUUACGUAUGGUACGGUUUUGUGUGAAAAAUGCGAGCAGAAGAUCGAAGAGCACGUGGGAAGAAGGGAAAACGUGGCGGGCUGGCUUGGCUAACUAUAUGGAAUGGGAAGCAUAUUGCAUAAAUGAUCUGCGCAAAUACACACUCUUUAUUAAACUUCCAUCAUUUCAUUGCUGGUCAAAAGAAAGAAAAGAAAGAAUUCUUCAUUUUUCAUUCAGUUGUUGGGUGCUUAGAACAUUCUAGAUAAAUAUUUGUCCCGUCCGGUUCCUACCCUUCUUCCAGUGGUUACUUAUGCGCGCGCGCGCACACAAUAUCUCCGACCUAACUCUCUCCUUAUCAUCCAGACUUGUAGGUGAAGGACAGUUCCUUACUUUGAUCCCUCCUUAAUUAAUUUCUGCCGACACCUAACUUAAAUGUAUAUCCUAUGACCCAUGCAACCUUAUAUGCACCAUCACUUAAUUUCCUCCGCCACCUCAUCGCUUCUCUUUAUUUUCUUUCCCUUUAUACCCAACUUACAAUCAAUUAUACCAUGGUUAAAUAUUCCGCCACGCUUAAUUUUAUCUGAAGUAUCGUUUAUACAUUCAGUUGCGUCUGUUUGUUCAA